GAGACAGUGAGCACCGAUGGGAAAAUCAAGUCAUAUUUUUGGGAAGAGGUCGAUGAAGCGAAGCCUCAGCAAAUUGCAGAUUGCGCAGUUUUUUUUUGUAAAACUAAAUUUUAAAGUUGUUUGUGUUGGUUUUCUUAGUUUGAAAAUAUUUACAAGUACUCAAAAAGUUUUGGCUGCUUUAUAUACCUACAAUAGAUAUAGAGAGUGAGAUGACAUAGUUAUUUGAAAUAGAGCAUAGGUACACGUAUAUCAUCCACAGUUAAAUAUUUAACCAGCCUCAGUCAUCCAACUUAAGUUACAUAAAAAUGACAUAGACAUUUCAGCAUUAAAAUUGGAUAUUUUUUCGUGUCAUGUCAGACAACAGUCCGACUCAAAAUCAACCAGCUUCGUCUCAAGGAACCGGCAGCCGGCUAGGACAAGUAAUAACAAUAGCCUUGAUUGGCAUUGCAGCUUUCGGGGUGUACCGUUUGUAUGAAGAGCGUCAGAAGAGGAACAAGGGCGGUGGUGGCGGUGGUCCCUGCGGCGGCGGAGGGGGAGGCGGCGGAGGGGGAGGCUGCGGACUGAGCGGGCAGGCCCUGGGAAGCGGACUGGUUAGGAUGUUCCGCUCCCCAGUUGCCAGCCGCCUGCUGGGCAGCUCCUUCACACCAGCGGAAGACGUCGAUUGAGCUUCUGGUCUGCCCUGAGAUGGCCACUUGCUCAGCCUCGGUCCGAGUUCGGCUGACCGUCAGCUUGGUUUUGCCUGCUAGUUUAUAACCGACUACUCAGGUAUGCGGUUUUCAUUUAUCUUUCUAACAACCUCACUCGAACCACAGCAAACCAUGAAGUCAGCAAAAUCACAAGAGACGGAUACACUACGCUGCCGAUUUGAGCAUCUUCACGAAAUGCCACACUUGGCGGCAAUCAAAGCCUGUCAAUUUGGAUCGGAUUGAACGUCAAUAAUCCCAUCGAUUCGCCGCCAAGUUAGUGGAGCUCAGAUGGAUGCUUCGAACAGGAUCCUCUCGCAGUUAAGUUGAUACCAUAUCGCGCUGGUGUCCGAUUGACGUUUGUGAUUUGAACACUGUGUAAAUGACCUAUAAUUGUUGAAAAUCAGCGUUUCGUCUGUACAAUUGAUGCCCAUGCUACUAUUUGGACAUGGCUCCGAUGCCCACUGAAAACGUUGGGUGCGCGAUGCUUUGCCUUUACUCCAUUCUGAGGCUGGUAACGCUCCGGGGCUUAUUCUUUUCCCUAUAGCACGGGAUUUGCUCCUGUAAGCACGUCAGUUUCUUCCAACCAAUAUGUACCAGUAAUAGCCAAUAAAUCUUCACGCGUAUCUUCUA
rnacentral:lncRNA from 1 species